UUAGAGGACAAUGGCCAAUACU
rnacentral:miRNA from 1 species